rnacentral:rRNA from 1 species
ACGCACGCUGGCGGCGUGCUUAACACAUGCAAGUCGAGCGGAAAGGCCCUGCUUUUGUGGGGUGCUCGAGUGGCGAACGGGUGAGUAACACGUGAGUAACCUGCCCUUGACUUUGGGAUAACUUCAGGAAACUGGGGCUAAUACCGGAUAGGAGCUCCUGCUGCAUGGUGGGGGUUGGAAAGUUUCGGCGGUUGGGGAUGGACUCGCGGCUUAUCAGCUUGUUGGUGGGGUAGUGGCUUACCAAGGCUUUGACGGGUAGCCGGCCUGAGAGGGUGACCGGCCACAUUGGGACUGAGAUACGGCCCAGACUCCUACGGGAGGCAGCAGUGGGGAAUAUUGCACAAUGGGCGGAAGCCUGAUGCAGCAACGCCGCGUGCGGGAUGACGGCCUUCGGGUUGUAAACCGCUUUCGCCUGUGACGAAGCGUGAGUGACGGUAAUGGGUAAAGAAGCACCGGCUAACUACGUG